UACGAAGGGUGCAAGCGUUGUUCGGAUUUAUUGGGCGUAAAGCGCAUGUAGGCGGAUGAUCAAGUCAGGUGUGAAAUCUCGAAGCUCAACUUCGAAACGGCGCCUGAAACUAGUUGUCUAGAAUUUCGGAGAGGAAAGGGGAAUUUCUCAUGUAGGGGUAAAAUCCGUAGAGAUGAGAAGGAACAUCAGAGGCGAAGGCGCCUUUCUGGACGAAAAUUGACGCUGAGGUGCGAAAGCGUGGGGAGCAAACAGG
rnacentral:rRNA from 1 species